UGUUAGUCUAGUUACCUUAACUUCAAUGGAUGAUAAUCCACCUUUUCCUCUCUUUAGGCUCUCAAAAGUCAAAAAAUAGUGAAAAACAAAUGGGAAUUUUUGGUGGAGAAAGGUAUUCAGUAGUCCCCAUGUGUUGCUUAAGCAAGGAUCACUUUCUUAUUUUGGAGCUUUCGUUAUUGUGGAAUUGGUGUCGGACCAGAACACCUAAUAAGUGACUUUGAAUGAGAAUUUUGACAGUGUCAUCAGCCUUAAAAUAUUGAUUUAAGUUUAAAGGGACCAUUUACUUAGGUCCUGAGGCUUUUGGCUUAACUUUUGGAUUUUGGAUAGAUUAUAUGCAAAAUAGAACUAUAGGUGUGAGGCCCAAAUUUAGUCUAAAAGACCUCAAAUGAAAUUUUUUAUGGUUCUAUUGACUCAAGAUAGUCAAAUUUGGUAUGGUAGAAUAGUUCAUUACCUCACAUAGGGUUGUGAAUGAAUCUCAAGCACCUGUUCAAAGUUUAUUUUUUUACAUAGCAAAAAUUUGGUCCCUUAUAUCUAGUGUGAGAGCUUUAGAAGUCAUGGUGCCGAUUUUGCAACAAGAAUUUUAGCGCCCAUGAGUAGCUUUACACUGCUUUGCCAUUUGGCUAAGGAUAACUUUAGCGAUAAUGGGGUCACUUGAGGGGCACCACUUUGGAGGACAGAAGACCAUGUUACCAGUACCCAUACCCUUAUUUAGGAUUGCUUUAGUGGUCUUGUACAUCAUAAGUGGUAGUUUCUCAAGAGGACAAGUAACCACUUUGGAUGUUAAGUCCCCUUUCUUCACCAGAUUUUCCAUCAUUCCCGUCAACAUUUUUGCACCAUUUUGAGAGCAUGAAGAGAAAAAAAGAUGAGGAAUUAUCUUGACACUCCGAAACAUUAUAUAGAAGACCUACCAUCAAUGGCUAAUGAUUUAAAAUUCUGAUGUGAAACUAGUGUCCUAUUGAUAUCCUCACUUUUAACCAAGGAUCCAAACCAAAAAGUCAAUGUUAAAUUGGGUAAAAGGUUCAAGUAUUCAAAAUGGUGAGAUCAAAACUUUUUCAUCAUUUCUUCACAUCUUCCAAGUUUUAUCUUGGAAGAUCCGAAUCUUCCAUCCCACUGUCGCUCAUAUCCUAGCGAAGAAAGUUCGGACGGAGAUUUAAAUCUUCUAAGUUGAAGCAUAAAAGCAAGUAGAGGAGGCCUCGUGCUAAGACGUUAAACUAAGUGCUCAAUGGGAGGCACCCUAUCACGCCACAAUAAAUGGGUGCUUUUUUAAUGGAAGAUGAUAUAUGAAGGAAUUACAAGCUUCAAAUUAAGUGGAAAUAACUCAAAAGGAUUGGAAUGGAUCAUGGAAGCACAAAAUGCAGCUAAAUGCUAAUUUGGAUACCUGAAAAGUAUUGGGAGAGUGUGGACGUGUGAGAAAGAUUCUUGGCACAUGAAACACAUUAAUGGAUUUAUAAGGCACCUAAAACAGUGACCAGCGUGUCACUGGGUUCGCAGACGACCAGAAACUAUUUCCUUGUUCAACAAGGCAUGGGCUAUUUCUUCCACUAUAAAUAGGACAUUAUUCAUGUUUUUUUACUAACUUUUAUACAUCCUUGGAAGAUAUUAGGGGCUACACAACUUCUUUUUAGUAUUUUUUAUCAUUCUUUUAUUUUAGUUUCUUUCACGGUUUGUAUCAUCAUUCCAAGGAAUUAAAUGAUGAAUAUUUUCAUUAAAGGCUAAAACUCCUAUUUGGGGUUAA